rnacentral:piRNA from 1 species
UAUUUCCUGCAAUCUACUCCUCUUGGGUG